rnacentral:lncRNA from 1 species
CAUGAGCGUGGUGAAGGGGUAGGGCGCGAUGGUGGGCGAGGCGCGCGUCAGGCUCUGCGGUGGGGGAGGAGCGGGCAGGGGAGCAUUGGAGGGGCGAGUGGAAGGGAUGGGGUGGGGUCAGGCUCGGCGGCAGGAGCAUUGGAGCGCGCAACUUGCCUCAGCAUGUAAGGGUCAGGGGUUCAGUAGGUACCAUGAGCAUGGCGCGUGCCGAACUGCUUGGGCGGCGGCGAGGCGCACAGGGGGCUUUCCGCAUGCAAGCACAUAAGACAGCCUGUCCCACGUGUGCCGGAGCCCCCUGACUUCUCACC